rnacentral:rRNA from 1 species
UAGGGAAUCUUCCACAAUGGACGAAAGUCUGAUGGAGCAACGCCGCGUGAGUGAUGAAGGGUUUCGGCUCGUAAAACUCUGUUGUUGGAGAAGAACAGGUGUGAGAGUAACUGUUCACAUCUUGACGGUAUCCAACCAGAAAGCCACGGCUAACUACGUGCCAGCAGCCGCGGUAAUACGUAGGUGGCAAGCGUUGUCCGGAUUUAUUGGGCGUAAAGCGAGCGCAGGCGGUUUCUUAGGUCUGAUGUGAAAGCCUUCGGCUUAACCGGAGAAGUGCAUCGGAAACCAGGAGACUUGAGUGCAGAAGAGGACAGUGGAACUCCAUGUGUAGCGGUGAAAUGCGUAGAUAUAUGGAAGAACACCAGUGGCGAAGGCGGCUGUCUGGUCUGUAACUGACGCUGAGGCUCGAAAGCAUGGGUAGCGAACAGGAUUAGAUACCCUGGUAGUCCAUGCCGUAAACGAUGAGUGCUAAGUGUUGGAGGGUUUCCGCCCUUCAGUGCUGCAGCU